rnacentral:pre_miRNA from 1 species
UACGUACUCCCUCCAUUCGGAAUUACUUGUCUCGAAAAUGGAUGUAUCUAAAACUAAAAUACAUCUAGUUACAUCCAUUUCUACGACAAGUAAUUCUGAAUGGAGGGAGUACCAU